AAUCCAUGGUGUGGGAAUUUUUGAAUCAACAUUUUCAAACGUUCCAACGCCCAAUAGAAACUUUCUCCCUCCAUCUAUCUAAAGAUAUUAAUCUCUCUUCUCAACU
rfam:Gossypium hirsutum cultivar TM-1 chromosome 24, whole genome shotgun sequence